rnacentral:rRNA from 1 species
GACGAACGCUGGCGGCGUGCUUAACACAUGCAAGUCGAACGUGAUUUUUGUGGAAAUUCUUACGGGAAUGGAAGCGAAAUGAAAGUGGCGAACGGGUGAGUAACACGUGAGCAACCUACCUUACACAGGGGGAUAGCCGUUGGAAACGACGAUUAAUACCGCAUGAGACCACAGAACCGCAUGGUAUAGGGGUCAAAGAUUUAUCGGUGUAAGAUGGGCUCGCGUUUGAUUAGCUAGUUGGAAGGGUAAAGGCCUACCAAGGCGACGAUCAGUAGUCGGUCUGAGAGGAUGAACGGCCACAUUGGAACUGAGACACGGUCCAAACUCCUACGGGAGGCAGCAGUGGGGAAUAUUGCACAAUGGGGGGAACCCUGAUGCAGCGACGCCGCGUGAGCGAAGAAGGUUUUCGAAUCGUAAAGCUCUGUCCUAUGAGAAGAUAAUGACGGUAUCAUAGGAGGAAGCCCCGGCUAAAUAC